rnacentral:rRNA from 1 species
GACGAACGCUGGCGGCGUGCUUAACACAUGCAAGUCACGGGGGGUCUCGGGGCAACUCGGGAUAACCGGCGAACGGGUGCGUAACACGUAAGCGACCUGCCGAUUCGCGGGGGAUAGCCGGCCCAACGGCCGGGUAAUACCGCAUACGCUUGCUGGGUUUCAUGGCCGGGCAAGGAAACCUCCGGGGAACCGGGUGGGGCGGAUCGAGGGGCUUGCGGCCUAUCAGCUAGUUGGUGAGGUAACGGCUCACCAAGGCGGNGACGGGUAGCUGGUCUGAGAGGAUGGCCAGCCACAUUGGGACUGAGAGACGGCCCAGACUCCUACGGGAGGCAGCAGUGGGGAAUCUUGCGCAAUGGGCGAAAGCCUGACGCAGCGACGCCGCGUGGGGA